rnacentral:rRNA from 1 species
CCAGCAGCCGCGGUAAUUCCAGCUCCAAUAGCGUAUAUUAAAGUUGUUGCAGUUAAAAAGCUCGUAGUUGGAUUUGUGGUUUUCGCAAGUGGCCUGGCACUUAGUGCUGGUGUUAAUUUGCGUUGCCAUCCUUGGGUGGAACCUGUGUGGCAUUAGGUUGUCGUGCAGGGGAUGCCCAUCGUUUACUGUGAAAAAAUUAGAGUGUUUAAAGCAGGCUUAUGCCGUUGAAUAUAUUAGCAUGGAAUAAUAAGAUAGGACGUAGGUACUAUUUUGUUGGUUUGCGCACCCACGUAAUGAUUAAUAGAGACAGGCGGGGCUAUUCGUAUUGCGUUGUCAGAGGUGAAAUUCUUGGAUUUCUGCAAGACGAACUACUGCGAAAGCAUUUAGCAAGGAUGUUUUCAUUAAUCAAGAACGAAAGU